rnacentral:misc_RNA from 1 species
ACCUACUGUUUAAUUUUGAGGGUUCGUUUUUACGAAUACUCAAAAUUAGCACUUUAAGCAACGGGAUUUAUCCGUUGGCGCUGUGGAUUAGCACUUUUAGCAACAGAAUAAACUGAACGCAUGUGAAGUUUGUUUGUUGGCGCUGUGCGUUAGCACUUUUAGCAACGGAAUUUAUUCGUUGGCGCCGUGCUUUAGCACUUUGAAAACUGCAUAUAUAUUUAGUGAUAUGACAUCUAAUUUGUAAUAUAUAAAGCUGAUAACUUUUUAAAAUUAUCGAAGUUGAUAGCUUCUAAUCUAUCAAACCUUUUUAACUGGUCAA